AGAAUGAGAAUAAAUGUAGGGAGCGAGUAAUGAUGAAUGGUUCAUUACGUUAAGUGCUCCCUUCUUUCUUUUAUUUUCUUCUUCGUCUUCUUCUCGCCAUCUUCUUUCUCCAACC
rnacentral:ribozyme from 1 species